GCAGUCGAACGGAGCUGAGAGGAGCUUGCUUUUCUUAGCUUAGUGGCGAACGGGUGAGUAACGCGUGAGUAACCUGCCCUGGAGUGGGGGACAACAGUUGGAAACGACUGCUAAUACCGCAUAAGCCCACGGAUCCGCAUGGAUCUGCGGGAAAAGGAUUUAUUCGCUUCAGGAUGGACUCGCGUCCAAUUAGCUAGUUGGUGAGGUAACGGCCCACCAAGGCGACGAUUGGUAGCCGGACUGAGAGGUUGAACGGCCACAUUGGGACUGAGACACGGCCCAGACUCCUACGGGAGGCAGCAGUGGGGGAUAUUGCACAAUGGGGGAAACCCUGAUGCAGCGACGCCGCGUGGAGGAAGAAGGUUUUCGGAUUGUAAACUCCUGUCGUUAGGGACGAUAAUGACGGUACCUAACAAGAAAGCACCGGCUAACUACGUGCCAGCAGCCGCGGUAAAACGUAGGGUGCAAGCGUUGUCCGGAAUUACUGGGUGUAAAGGGAGCGCAGGCGGACCGGCAAGUUGGAAGUGAAAACUAUGGGCUCAACCCAUAAAUUGCUUUCAAAACUGCUGGCCUUGAGUAGUGCAGAGGUAGGUGGAAUUCCCGGUGUAGCGGUGGAAUGCGUAGAUAUCGGGAGGAACACCAGUGGCGAAGGCGACCUACUGGGCACCAACUGACGCUGAGGCUCGAAAGCAUGGGUAGCAAACAGGAUUAGAUACCCUGGUAGUCCAUGCCGUAAACGAUGAUUACUAGGUGUUGGAGGAUUGACCCCUUCAGUGCCGCAGUUAACACAAUAAGUAAUCCACCUGGGGAGUACGACCGCAAGGUUGAAACUCAAAGGAAUUGACGGGGGCCCGCACAAGCAGUGGAGUAUGUGGUUUAAUUCGAAGCAACGCGAAGAACCUUACCAGG
rnacentral:rRNA from 1 species